AACGAACGCUGGCGGCAGGCUUAACACAUGCAAGUCGAGCGCCCCGCAAGGGGAGCGGCAGACGGGUGAGUAACGCGUGGGAAUCUACCCAUCUCUACGGAACAACUGAGGGAAACUUCAGCUAAUACCGUAUACGCCCUACGGGGGAAAGAUUUAUCGGAAUUGGAUGAGCCCGCGUUGGAUUAGCUAGUUGGUGGGGUAAUGGCCUACCAAGGCGACGAUCCAUAGCUGGUCUGAGAGGAUGAUCAGCCACACUGGGACUGAGACACGGCCCAGACUCCUACGGGAGGCAGCAGUGGGGAAUAUUGGACAAUGGGCGAAAGCCUGAUCCAGCCAUGCCGCGUGAGUGAUGAAGGCCUUAGGGUUGUAAAGCUCUUUCAGUGGGGACGAUAAUGACGGUACCCACAGAAGAAGCCCCGGCUAACUUCGUGCCAGCAGCCGCAGUAAAAC
rnacentral:rRNA from 1 species